rnacentral:rRNA from 1 species
UGCAAGUCGAACGGAGAUUACAGGCGGAAGUUUUCGGAUGGAAGCUUGUAAACUUAGUGGCGGACGGGUGAGUAACACGUGAGCAACCUGCCUAUCAGAGGGGGAUAACGAUUGGAAACGAUCGCUAAUACCGCAUGACAUAGCGGAAUCGCAUGGUUCUGUUAUCAAAGAUUUUAUCGCUGAUAGAUGGGCUCGCGUCCGAUUAGAUAGUUGGUGGGGUAACGGCCUACCAAGUCGACGAUCGGUAGCCGGACUGAGAGGUCGAACGGCCACAUUGGGACUGAGACACGGCCCAGACUCCUACGGGAGGCAGCAGUGGGGGAUAUUGCACAAUGGGGGAAACCCUGAUGCAGCGACGCCGCGUGAGGGAAGACGGUCCUCUGGAUUGUAAACCUCUGUCUUCGGGGACGAAACGAGACGGUACCCGAGGAGGAAGCCACGGCUAACUACGUGCCAGCAGCCGCGGUAAUACG